rnacentral:sRNA from 1 species
UGAUUGCCUAUCUCUUCUUGACCCCAAGACCUUCCUUGGAUUUCAGAAGUGUCAAGCCUUGGGAUACAAUCUCCGAGACUCCUGCUUUACAUUAGGGACUCAAGGCGUGAGGGAGCUUCUAGGACUGAUUCCCAGAUAGUCUCUUUGAUCUUCCUUGUAGGUCUUCAAAGCUUCACCUUUCUCCAAAGGCAGAUGUGAAGAACUUGAUGUCUUAUGUGGUAACCAAGACAAAAGCGAUUAAUGGGAAAUACCAUCGUUUCUUGGGUCGUCAUUUCCCCCGCUUCUAUGUUCUGUACACAAUCUUCAUGAAAGAAAGCCUUGAGCCGGGCCAUGCUUCUCACAUCUUACCUGCCUCCUCCCUUGUUGAGACAUCGUUUGAAGACUCAUACAACUGUGAUUCACCAACUGGACAAGGCUUUGGCAAAGCUGGGGAUUGGCCAGCUGACUGCUCAGGAAGUAAAAUCGGCUUGUUAUCUCCGUGGCCUGAAUUCUACGCAUAUUGGUGAAGAUAGGUGUCGAACUUGGCUGGGAGAAUGGCUGCAGAUUUCCUGCAGCCUGAAAGAAGCUGAGCUGUCUCUCUUGCUGCACAACGUGGUCCUGCUCUCCACCAACUACCUUGGGACAAGGCGCUGAAUGAACCAUGGAGCGGAUGGCAUUGUCCUGCAGUCGUAUAGUAUAGCAGUGCAGGAACAAACAGCACUUGCCAGCAAAGUCUGUGUGGACUGUUAAGUGUGUGGGAGGCAGAGAGAGGAGCAGGGGCCAUGGGCUUCACAGCAUGGCACACGUGUGGGAACUGCAGACAUUCCCCUCACAGCUAGAACUGAAACAAACCCUCUUGCUAGGGGUGGCCCGUGUGAGGUGUCAUCCUGUCCCCCUCAUAAUUACUAAUAGCUGGAACUGGCAGCAGCCUCUACUGGGCUUUUACUGUGAUAUGUUCAGUUCAUGUCCUAGGAAGUCAGCUUUUGCCCCAGGUGGGAAUCCUUAUUUGGCUUAGGACUGAUCCACUUCCAUGUUACUUACAUCUGUGGGGUUUUGUUGUUGCUGUUAGAAAAUUUGUGGCUGGUGAAAACAGCACUCCUUUGGCUGGAGCACUCUUGUCUGUGCAUGUACUUGGGUGUUUCCCUCCAUCCUUUCUGAUAUGACCAAAAAUCAAGUUGUUUUGUUUUUUGUCACCUUCACUGGCAUGGGCUAACCACUUCUUUUUCAAACCCUCUGAACACCUUUUUUUGAUGGGUAACUUGCAGGAAUAUUCUAUUGGAAAAGAUAACAGGAAGUACAAGUGCUUCUUGACCCCUUCCUCAAUGUUUCUAGCCUUCACUCUCCAUUGUCUUUUCUGGGCUGUAUUACAGCCUUCUGUGGAUCUUCAACUCUGCUGCCUCCACUGUGAUGCAGCAGUCCAACUGUAACUGACAGUGGCUGCCUUCUCUGGGCCACGGAUCACACCUGUAAGGUACUAAUUACUGCCCAGCCUGGGGAGAUCAGGAGAGGUCUGCAUAGAGUUAGUAAGUUGGGUUUAGCUUUUGUGUGUGCAUCAGUGACUUAGAGUUCUGUAAUAACUUACUGUAAAUGCAUGAAGCACUGUUUUUAAACCCAAGUAAAGACUGCUUGAAACCUGUUGAUGGAAA